rnacentral:lncRNA from 1 species
CGUGUCCCCGGUGGCGGCUGAGUCAGGGCGGCCGCCCCCGCCCCCCUGCCGUGCCCUUCCCUCCCCGGCAUCCGUGUGGGAGCGGCGGGGGCGGCCCGGCGCUUCCUCCUGCAUGAGGUCACACGGCGGCGGGGGAGGGAGCAGCCUCCCCGGUGCGGCCCCCGCUCCCCGCAGGGCUGAGAUUAUUGCUCAUGGCCCUUUGUCUCUGGAGCAUUUGUGGCUGUGCCUGAGUCACUGCAGUUCCAGUCCUGCUGUGCCUGCUCAGUGGAAGGCUUCAGAGGCUGUCAGCAGUGUUGAUGUUUGCGCUGCUGCCAUAGGAGACAGCCUCGUGGGGUCAGGGGAAACCCCAAAUAUGCCUGGUGAAGCCAGAGGGCAGCUGCACAAACCUGGAUGCGCUGGUGGUGGAUGCUGCUCUCAGGGGUCCUGCUCACAAUCAGUGAGCAUUGUCUGGGACCAGUGCUGCAACAUGAGUACAGGAAAAAAGGAGAAAGGUGGAAGCCCUUUGGGUUCCUUUGUCCUCAGGAAGCUUUGAUGUUAACCUCAGAUCCAGCCCCAAGAACAAGAGCUGACAAGACUCCAAGCCCUGGAAGGACCACAUGCCCUGCGGCUGUCCCUGUGACUGAAAGGGCUGAGAACUUCCACUGAGCACCAGCACCUUCUCCUGCACUCCUUUUUGUUUUUUUAAUUGUAGCCUGGCACGUGGAGCCACUGGCAUUCAGGAGGGGAGCCUGUGGCUGUCCCUGGUGUCUGUGGUCCCUGCCAUGAGUGUAAUCCCCUCUGCAGGGCUUGCUUGGCCAGGCUCAGGGUGUGCCUCCUUUGCACACUCGCAGACACACUCUGGUUUGACUCUGGUUGAACAGGAGUAGCCACAGAGCAGGCUGGAGGCAUCAGCCCCAUCCCCAGGGCCCUGCUCCCUCUUGCCUGCAGCAAGAGCAGCCCCAUGUUCUGCCAGGGGCAUGAGGAGUGGCCUCCAGGUGAGAGGGCUGAAAGCAGGUACAGCACAUGCAGGGAGUGACAGCUCAUGGCUGCAUCAUCAUCCUUCAGUUACUCAUCUACAAGCCAUGCCAGCUCGGGGGAGGCCUGAGGAGCAUACUGAGUGCCAGUAGCUGGGUGUGCCCGCUGCUCAUCAUGCCUUCACCCGGGGCCCGAUGACCAGCACAGCUGAGACCAAAGAUCAUCACUGGACCCAGAGAUGUGUGCAAGGCAUGUGAAGAGCAGGUGCACAGACUGUGAAGGUACGAAACCUCGGGGAUCUCUUUGUGGGGGUUCCCUCCCCAGAGGCACCCGCUCAAGCUGUUGUUGCACCACAAUUAAAGUAUUUUAAUAAAGGAGCCAGAUGUUUGAAAUUCUGCUACGGG